AUCUUACCGUACUUCCAGCAGCCAAUCAGAAAAGAGAGACUGGAGGCGGGGACUGACGUAUGUGUGUAGGUAUUAUGGGAUAUGAAGUGAAUCAAGACAAGAAGAAUUACACCAGAGGGUAAUGCAGGUUAUGCGACGUACCGUGAGCCGGAGCUACUUUUCUUUGUGUACGGAAAUGAUGUGACACGCGUGGACCAGUGUGCUGUUUCCCGCGAAAUCCGUCCCGACAUCUAUGAAAUAUCAGGCUACGUUUGGUACAUAUCUGGAGUCUCAGAGUUGUUCAUAGCCUCGGCCACGGCGCUCUCGGACAAGCACAUACGUCAAAAUUGCUACAAGGCAAAUGGCUACAGCCACGGCGCCCAGAAUAAUCGGGAUCAUCCGUUUGUUGUAAUCCUCCCAGCACUCAACCUCUGAAAUUAAGUCAGGAUAAAUCAUGUUGUUCUUGGGUAAACAAGUUAAUACAGUAAAACAGAUCACAUUUUAA